rnacentral:rRNA from 1 species
UACGUAGGGGGCUAGCGUUGUCCGGAAUCAUUGGGCGUAAAGCGCGCGUAGGCGGCCCGGUAAGUCCGCUGUGAAAGUCAAAGGCUCAACCUUUGAAUGUCAGCGGAUACUGCCGGGCUAGAGUCCGGAAGAGGCGAGUGGAAUUCCGUGGUGUAGCGGUGGAAUGCGCAGAUAUCAGGAGGAACACCAACGGCGAAGGCAGCUCGCUGGGACGGUACUGACGCUGAGGCGCGAAAGCGUGGGGAGCGAACAGG